rnacentral:RNase_P_RNA from 1 species
AUGGGUAGUCGGACGGUUGCUCUGAAUAUCAGAGAGGAAAGUCCGGACUCCUGCAGGGAGGAUGGCUCCUAACGGGAGCAGUUCGCAAGGACUGGAAAGUGCCACAGAAAUUAUACCGCCUCUGUUCGUAAGAACAGAGGUAAGGGUGAAAUGGCAAGGUAAGAGCUUACCGGCUGACAGGUAACUGUCAGAGCUAAGGCAAACCCCAUCCGGAGCAAGGUCAAGCAGAACUUAUGGGUCCCCUGCCUCGACAAGUUCGGGUUGACCGCUUGAACCUGAAGGCGACUUCAGGUCCAGAUGAAUAACCGUUUAAACAGAAUCCGGCUUAUGAACUACCCUUUCUU